AGAUGAUCCCGCGUUGUAUUAGCUAGUUGGUGAGGUAAAGGCUCACCAAGGCGAUGAUACAUAGCCGACCUGAGAGGGUGAUCGGCCACAUUGGGACUGAGACACGGCCCAAACUCCUACGGGAGGCAGCAGUAGGGAAUCUUCGGCAAUGGACGAAAGUCUGACCGAGCAACGCCGCGUGAGUGAAGAAGGUUUUCGGAUCGUAAAACUCUGUUGGUAGAGAAGAACGUUGGUGAGAGUGGAAAGCUCAUCAAGUGACGGUAACUACCCAGAAAGGGACGGCUAACUACGUGCCAGCAGCCGCGGUAAUACGUAGGUGGCGAGCGUUAUCCGGAUUUAUUGGGCGUAAAGGGAACGCAGGCGGUCUUUUAAGUCUGAUGUGAAAGCCUUCGGCUUAACCGGAGUAGUGCAU
rnacentral:rRNA from 1 species